CACGUAGGGGGCAAGCGUUGUCCGGAUUUAUUGGGCGUAAAGAGCUCGUAGGCGGCUUAGUAAGUCGGGUGUGAAACCUCCAGGCUCAACCUGGAGACGCCACCCGAUACUGCUGUGGCUAGAGUCCGGUAGGGGAGCGUGGAAUUCCUGGUGUAGCGGUGAAAUGCGCAGAUAUCAGGAGGAACACCAGUGGCGAAGGCGGCGACCUGGGCAGAUACUGACGCUGAGGUGCGAAAGCGUGGGGAGCAAACAGG
rnacentral:rRNA from 1 species